CAAUUUCUAUAUCCACUAAUGGGCCAACAAAUAUUACAUUGAGAUCUGCUGGAUCACAUUACUACCUUUGCACCUUGCCAAGCCAUUGUACAUUGGGCCAGAAAUUGGCUAUCAAUGUCUCCGGCUCCGGCUCCGGCUCCGGCUCCACCUCUCCGGCUCCUCAGCCAGCUGCCGCCAGACCCGUCACUCCUCCCACUGCUGCUCCAGUGACCGCUCCUUCAGCGAGCCCAUCAACAGCUCCCGCCCCAUCGGUUGCAGCCACCCCGGCAUCGGCACCUGCACCAUCAGUUGCAGCCCAAACUUUUACUGUUGGAGGCAACAUGGGGUGGAAUGUUCCUACUACUGGUGGCCCAAAUGCUUAUCAAACUUGGGCUAAUGGCAAAUCCUUCAAAGUUGGAGAUACUCUUGGUAAGCACUAAAACUUCACUCUACUCUUUUACAAUUUUUAUCAGGUUAUCAAUUAAUAUGUAUCUUAAUAUUUAGCUAUAAUUACCUUGAUCAUACUUACCAUCGUACAUUAAAACCUACCAACCUUUGAGGGGCCAAUAAUGCUUAUAAUUCAAAUAGGAGUAAUAUUUUGUAUCACACUUCAUCUUGAAAUAGUCUCAUUUCUAUGAAAAGUAUAGGGUGUAACUAACUUAUACACUGUAUUUACCUUAUAUAAAUAUACUUCGAAAUAAUUACAAUUUGUAGCUACAAUUGUAUUUUGUAGCAAAAUCUCAAUGGUAAAUACAUGUAUUGAGUCACAUACAAUGAUACAGUAACUGUAUAUAUCGUUGUAUUUCAAUAUAUUGUAUGUAUUGAUACAAUCAUUUAGAGCGAAUUAAAUACACGUAAUACAAGCUGGUAACAAUUGAACAGUAGCUACAUUUGAUAAUUUAGCAAAUUAUAAUUACUUAUGGUAAUUAAGCUCUAAACUGUAUUGCUUUAUGGAAAUACCUAGUGCUAUAUUAUGGUUGUUGAUCUAACAUUUUAACCUUUCUUAUAUUUUUCAAUGUAGUUUUCAAUUUUGUCAACGGGAGACACAAUGUUGCAGUGGUUAGUAAGGCAGCUUAUGACUCAUGCAACACAACUUCUCCUAUCAACACAAUUAGCACUGGUCCUGCUACGAUCACACUCACAAAUUCUGGUGAAAAUUACUACAUGUGCACUUUCCCUAGCCACUGCUCAUUAGGUCAAAAGCUAGCCAUCAACGUCACCGGCACCAGCGCCGCCGCCCCCACGCCUUCUAUCGCCGCUACACCAUCUGGCACCACCGUCCCAUCCGUCCCCUCGAGCGAUUCUCCGGUCACUUCACCACCAUCACCAAGUGCGUCAGCUCCAUCUUUGGUCCUUGCAGCUUUGCCAGUCACUUUCUUGUCACUUGCCUUUGCUAGAUUGUUGAAUUAAGUAGUAUAGUAUUGAUUUUAUGAAAUUCUUUUACUUGUUUUUUUUUCUUUUUUUGUUAUCUUUAUAUAUGGAUCUGACAUUUUUGUUGUACCAAUAAAGCUGAAUUUUUGGAUUCCAGCUAAAAAAAAUUUCUUGUUGAUUUUAAUGUAAUGAAAUUUCAAUCUUCCUGCCUUCUU
rnacentral:lncRNA from 1 species